CUUUAUUGUGAAAAAUUGAAAAUUUCAGCAAGAUACUUGUCAUAACCAAAAAAAAUAAAAAAAAACCAAAUUAUUAAACAGAAAUAAUGAAGCUAUAAAUAAAUAUGAUCAAUUAUGUAUUCUCUUCUAAGUAACCUUAUUAUUGUUUUCAAAACUCAUCCUGCUUUUCCUGUUUUAUAUUUGAACCCUGAGUUACAGGUUCGUCCAUUUCCUGAGCGUAUAUAAUCAUAGGUUUUGACUCUAAAGUUUGGCCUGGAAGUUGCUCUUCUAACUCAACAAAAUCCAUUCCUCGUAACUCUUCUUCAAAAGAUGCACGAAUAUGAAGGCCCGGUACUAGAUCUACUAACAGACAUAUGAUAGCUGUUAUGACGAAAGACCAUGCAGCAACAGAGGUAAAACCUGCAAAUUGAUAACCCAUUUGUUUCCAGUGAUGAACGGCCCAGCCCCCGUCUAUAACUGUAGCGCCAUCUGAGGCAGCGACAUCGGGAUGCGCUACUACACCGAGCACGAUGGAGCCAACAAUGCCGCCGAUACCGUGUAAGUUAAAGACACGAAGCGUUUCAUCAACGCCAAUCCAUUCAUUGAGGUCAUGAAGAAAGUUACAUACCAAUGCCGGUACGAUACCCCCAGCAGCGGCUCCCCAUGGAAAUACAAAUCCACAGGCUGGUGUGAUACCCACUAACCCUGCAAUGGCACCUUCGCAAAUACCUAUAGUGGAAAACUUUCUAUAACGGAUGUAAUCAAUAAUCGCCCAUGUCAAAGCACCAAAUGACGAGGAAAUGAGCGUGUUGGUCAUGAUAUAAGCUGUACGAAUAUUAACAGUCAAUAGAGUACCAGAAUUGAAGCAGAGCCAUGCAAACCAAAUCAAAACAACGCCAAUGUAAACCAUACCAGCAUCAUGCGGAGGAUUAUGAGCUAUCUUUCCUCUGCCGAAGGAAUUCUUCCAGGAAACAGAUUUGAACCCAAACCACCGCUUCCAAUUAGCUUUGCAGUUGUUUUGGGAAGACGACGGUAAAUCUGCAUUAUCGGUCGACCGAAUUGAAUCGGGUCUGUCUGGCUCGUCGACAACAAUGCGACGACCUAAACAUAAGGAAUAAGCGAGCGCAGCAAAACCAGAUGAAAUAUGUACGGGACCGCCGCCUGCAAAGUCAAGGGCACCCAAUGUGUAGAGCCAGCCAUUGGGUGCCCAUGUCCAGUAUGCCUGUGGACAAUAAACCAGCGUAAUGUAUAAAAAAGAUAUUACGAGAGAGGGAAUUAGCCUACCGCGCUCAGCCAUUGCCCCGGCAAACAAUUGAGCUGUCGCUACAGCAAAGAGACCACCAAAUGGAAAGUAAACAAUUGCUGGAAUUGUGGACCCUGGUAUAUAUGGUUCUAACCAAAGAUGGUUCAUCCCUCCUUGCCACAACGUUCCAUAAAAAGAGGACCCCGAUGAGCAAGCAAGAGAGUAUCCAAACAGAUACCAUUGAAUAAACACCACUGCUGUAACCAAAAACGACUGAGUCAAUAUUGAGAGAGCCGAAUUCUUUCUAACCAUCCCAGCAUAAUAAAGAGCUAUACCGGGGGUUACGGUAAAUACUACCACUGUACUCAAAAGUACGUACGCUAUAUCAGCAUUUGAGUAUUCGUUGGGAAACAGUUCUGUUACAGUCGCGAUAGUGGAGUUUGCGUCGCGACGUAAUAGCGCAUUCGGCUCGUUAAGCAUCUUUUCGUACACGACAAAUAAAUCGUAAAUCAGUCGUAAAUUAUACCGUACGUCACAGUAUCGUACGUAAACAGAGAGAUAAAUAGAGGA
rnacentral:lncRNA from 1 species